AUUGAACGCUGGCGGCAUGAUUUACACAUGCAAGUCGAACGGUAACAGGCCGCAAGGUGCUGACGAGUGGCGCACGGGUGCGUAAUGCAUCGGAACGUGCCCAGUCGUGGGGGAUAACUACUCGAAAGAGUAGCUAAUACCGCAUACGAUCUAUGGAUGACAGCGGGGGACCGUAAGGCCUCGCGCGAUUGGAGCGGCCGAUGUCAGAUUAGGUAGUUGGUGGGGUAAAGGCUCACCAAGCCAACGAUCUGUAGCUGGCCUGAGAGGACGACCAGCCACACUGGGACUGAGACACGGCCCAGACUCCUACGGGAGGCAGCAGUGGGGAAUUUUGGACAAUGGGCGCAAGCCUGAUCCAGCAAUGCCGCGUGCAGGAAGAAGGCCUUCGGGUUGUAAACUGCUUUUGUACGGAACGAAACGGCUCUGGUUAAUACCCGGGGCUAAUGACGGUACCGUAAGAAUAAGCACCGGCUAACUACGUG
rnacentral:rRNA from 1 species